AUUGUUUAACACAGCGGUGGCCGGUGUUCUGUCAAAUUAUCCUACCCGGUGAGUGCGUUUUAUAAUGGAUCCAUGGGUGAGUGUCCUACUUUGUGUCAAUGCGCAUGCGCACCAGUCAACAGCGUCAACUUGACUAAAACAACACGGAAUCGUCCUACAGCUGUUUAAGAAGAAAACUAUUGUCAACAUCCCCAAGAAGGCCCUCAUCCUUAUUGAUCCCUUUGGGAAAGAGGACUAUUAUUCAAGAAAAGUUCUCCACAACUGGAGGAACUACCUUAAAAGGAUGGAGAGAAGGGGGUGAGGCAUGGCAGGUGGAGACUGUGCACCACAAUAAACAGCAGGAUGCCAGUAGCUGCAGAGUGUUGGUU